rnacentral:rRNA from 1 species
CCUACGGGUUGCACCAGUGGGGAAUAUUGCACAAUGGGCGCAAGCCUGAUGCAGCCAUGCCGCGUGUAUGAAGAAGGCCUUAGGGUUGUAAAGUACUUUCAGUUGGGAGGAAGGCGUUGAUGCUAAUAUCAUCAACGAUUGACGUUACCAACAGAAGAAGCACCGGCUAACUCCGUGCCAGCAGCCGCGGUAAUACGGAGGGUGCAAGCGUUAAUCGGAAUUACUGGGCGUAAAGCGCACGCAGGCGGUUGAUUAAGUUAGAUGUGAAAUCCCCGGGCUUAACCUGGGAAUGGCAUCUAAGACUGGUCAGCUAGAGUCUUGUAGAGGGGGGUAGAAUUCCAUGUGUAGCGGUGAAAUGCGUAGAGAUGUGGAGGAAUACCGGUGGCGAAGGCGGCCCCCUGGACAAAGACUGACGCUCAGGUGCGAAAGCGUGGGGAGCAAACAGGAUUAGAUACCCGUGUAGUC